rnacentral:rRNA from 1 species
AGGACGAACGCUGGCGGCGUGCUUAACACAUGCAAGUCGAGCGGUAAGGCCUUUCGGGGUACACGAGCGGCGAACGGGUGAGUAACACGUGGGUGAUCUGCCCUGCACUUCGGGAUAAGCCUGGGAAACUGGGUCUAAUACCGGAUAUGACCUCCUAUCGCAUGGUGGGUGGUGGAAAGAUUUAUCGGUGCAGGAUGGGCCCGCGGCCUAUCAGCUUGUUGGUGGGUAAUGGCCUACCAAGACGACGACGGGUAGCCGGCCUGAGAGGGUGACCGGCACACUGGGACUGAGACACGGCCCAGACUCCUACGGGAGCAGCAGGUGGGAAUAUGCACAAUGGGCGCAAGCCUGAUGCAGCAACGCCGCGUGAGGACGACGGCCGUCGGGCUAGGUAAACCUCGUUUAGCGAGGAAGAAGACGAAGUGACGGUACUGACAAGAAAAGCACCGGACUAACGUACGUCGACCAGACACG